UCCAUUCAGCUGUCCAAAUGUAUCCAAGUAACCUGUUGUUUGGCAGUAAAUACAUCUCAGCAACCAAUUGAACU
rnacentral:pre_miRNA from 1 species